GUGAAGAACGCAGCGAAAUGCGAUAAGUAAUGCGAAUUGCAGAAUUCAGUGAAUCAUCGAAUCUUUGAACGCACAUUGCGCCCGCCAGUAUUCUGGCGGGCAUGCCUGUCUGAGCGCCGUUUCGACCCUCGCGCCCGGCUUCUGUCGGGGGCGGUGUUGGGGAUCGGCCACACCCUUCAGUGGGAGGCCGGCCCCUAAAUUCAGUGGCGACCACGCUGUAGCCUCCCCUGCGUAGUACUAAAACCACCUCGCAGGCGGAGAGCGGUGCGGCCCGCCGUAAAACCCCCCAACUUUUACAAGGUCGACCUCAGAUCAGGUAGGAAUACCCGCUGAACUUAAGCAUAUCAAUAAGCGGAGGA
rnacentral:misc_RNA from 1 species